rnacentral:misc_RNA from 1 species
GAUGAAGAACGUAGCGAAAUGCGAUAAGUAAUGUGAAUUGCAGAAUUCAGUGAAUCAUCGAAUCUUUGAACGCACAUUGCGCCCGCCAGUAUUCUGGCGGGCAUGCCUGUUCGAGCGUCAUUUCAACCAUCAAGCCCCAGGCUUGUGUUGGGGACCUGCGGCUGCCGCAGGCCCUGAAAACCAGUGGCGGGCUCGCUGUCACACCGGGCGUAGUAGAUUUUAUCUCGCUCAGGGCGUGCUGCGGGUUCCGGCCGUUAAAAAGCCUUUUUUACCCAAGGUUGACCUCGGAUCAGGUAGGAAUACCCGCUGAACUUAAGCAUAUCAAUAAGCAGAGGA